CUUGCUCUAUUGCUAACUCAAAGAGUGAUCUCGCCUUUCCUCAAUCCUCUCACUUCUUCAAGACCCUGCAUAGAAAUGCACAAAUAAGCACUUGAUCCAGAAUCUAAAAUCCAACUAGAAGAAGAUGAAACCGUUAGAUUAGUUUCAAUAAUGAGUAUAUCAGAUGUACCUUCAGAAGGCCCAUCCUUCUCCUGCACUUGACAGUCGCCAGGU
rnacentral:lncRNA from 1 species